rnacentral:rRNA from 1 species
AGUAACGCGUAUCCAACCUUCCGUACACUCAGGGAUAGCCUUUCGAAAGAAAGAUUAAUACCUGAUGGUAUGAUGAGAUUGCAUGAUAGCAUCAUUAAAGAUUUAUCGGUGUACGAUGGGGAUGCGUUCCAUUAGGUAGUAGGCGGGGUAACGGCCCACCUAGCCAACGAUGGAUAGGGGUUCUGAGAGGAAGGUCCCCCACAUUGGAACUGAGACACGGUCCAAACUCCUACGGGAGGCAGCAGUGAGGAAUAUUGGUCAAUGGACGAGAGUCUGAACCAGCCAAGUAGCGUGAAGGAUGAAGGUCCUACGGAUUGUAAACUUCUUUUAUAAGGGAAUAAACCCUCCCACGUGUGGGAGCUUGUAUGUACCUUAUGAAUAAGCAUCGGCUAACUCCGUGCCAGCAGCCGCGGUAAUACGGAGGAUGCGAGCGUCAUCCGGAUUUAUUGGGUUUAAAGGGAGCGCAGACGGGUCGUUAAGUCAGCUGUGAAAGUUUGGGGCUCAACCUUAGAAUUGCAGUUGAUACUGGCGUCCUUGAGUGCGGUUGAGGUGUGCGGAAUUCGUGGUGUAGCGGUGAAAUGCUUAGAUAUCACGAAGAACUCCGAUUGCGAAGGCAGCACACUAAUCCGUAACUGACG